GAUGAACGCUAGCGGCAGGCUUAACACAUGCAAGUCGAGGGGUAUAGUUCUUCGGAACUAGAGACCGGCGCACGGGUGCGUAACGCGUAUGUAAUCUACCUUUUACAGGGGGAUAGCCCAGAGAAAUUUGGAUUAAUACCCCAUAGUAUGUUGUGGUGGCAUCACCAUAACAUUAAAGUUCCAACGGUAAAAGAUGAGCAUGCGUCCCAUUAGCUAGAUGGUAAGGUAACGGCUUACCAUGGCUACGAUGGGUAGGGGUCAUGAGAGGGAGAUCCCCCACACUGGUACUGAGAAACGGACCAGACUCCGACGGGAGGCAGCAGUGAGGAAUAUUGGACAAUGGGCGCAAGCCUGAUCCAGCCAUGCCGCGUGCAGGAUGACGGUCCUAUGGAUUGUAAACUGCUUUUGUACAGGAAGAAACACUCCCUCGUGAGGGAGCUUGACGGUACUGUAAGAAUAAGGAGCGGCUAACUCCGUGCCAGCCGCCGCGGUAA
rnacentral:rRNA from 1 species